AUUGAACGCUGGCGGCAGGCCUAACACAUGCAAGUCGAGCGAGCGGCGGACGGGUGAGUAAUGUAUGGGGACUGCCUGAUAGCGGGGGAUAACCACUGGACACGGGAGCUAACACCGCAUUCCCUCAGAUACCCCAUAUGGGAGUACCUUGUAGGUGGGGUAACUGCUCACCUCGGCGACGAUCCCUAGCUGGUCUGAGAGGAUGAUAAGCCGCACGUGGACUGAGACACGGCCCAGAAUCCUACGGAGGCAGCAGUGGGGAAUAUUGCACAAUGGGGUCAAGCCGGAUGCAGCCAUCCCGCGUGUAUGAAGAAGGCCUGCGGGUUGUAAAGUACUUUCAGUCGGGAGGCGUUACCGACAGAAGAAGCACCGGCUAACUCCGUGCCAGCAGCCGCGGUAAUUC
rnacentral:rRNA from 1 species